ensembl:lncRNA
UGUGUUUUCUAUUCAUUAAUGUAAUUGUCAGUUAUUUUCUCUCUUCAUUUUACUUUAUUUAUCUGUUUGUUUGUAACGUUCUACUUUAGUUCUACUAAACCUUGAUGUAAAAAACAAUACUCCCUUAUUUCACGCACACACUCUGCAUUUUGCCUACGCACACACUUCUCUCUCAGACUUCCUCUGUUCACACAUCACCUUGCACUCACUCUACUAUCAACUUUCAUAGUGUUAUUAUUAUUUAGUAUUUUGUACACCUCACACAGAAUCAUUCAAAUCGAGUACUCACAGCAUUCACAUCACAACCUUCAACUUUCACUUUCGAUCCUGCAAGACGCAGAGAUGGACAUCUCCUUCACCUAACAUAAAACUAAAUUACCAUAUCAACAUACAAUUACUGAAAUUCAAACUCAAAUACACCAUCUGUUUUAAUAAAGUCAAAGAGUAAACAGGUGUACCAAGUGUAUGUACUUAUGUGUUUUAAACUGAAAGAAAAAGAAACUCAAAACUCUCAUAACAUCACUCAUGCAUCUCUUAAAUUAAAAACACUUUCAAACUUUAAAACCUCCUACUUUACAUCACCAAAGAAAUACCUCUCACACCUUCAUUCAUCAUUCAAAACCUUCUAGUCACCGCAUUCACACUUAAACUGUGACUAGAGUUGAAGAAUAUAACUCAAAACACAAUUUCCUAAGAGUAUUUUAGACAUGCUUGUCAUAAUCAAAAAAGCAAGUAAAAAACAAACAAACAAAAAAAUUGAAACCUCCAUUAAUUCUCACCGCACACGCAAGAAAUUGAAAAAAUAAAACCCACCAGCAGCUAAUGCUGGAGAACAGUUACUACUGAAAGUCAUGUGUUAGUCUUAAGUAUAUACAGUGCACUCAAUAUAUUUAUAUAUCUACAUCCAAACUCAAUCAAUUACUAUACAUCCACUACGGCAACUCAAAACUUUAUUUAUAGUCCUUUGCUAAACAUAAAUGGCAUUUUAAACACACACUCUACAAUGUUUGCAGCAGUAUUUGUAAAACCAACUGUGGCUUAAACAGUUCACUGCUUACUCAUUUGCAUUUUCACUCACACACACACCUCCAAAAAUAGCAGCAGGCAGUCAGUGCAUUACUGACUCGACACACAGAGAUCUCUUAUUACAAAGACGUCUUAUAUUUACAACUACUGUCAGAUCUGUCAGCUUUAGCGCCUAACCAAUUUAGACAAAUUUAAAAUAACCGCCCACCAAUUAACCAGUAUCAAGACUUUAACUGUUUCUGGCCUCAUUUCUAAAAUCCCUAACUCAAUUUAAAAGCGUCAACCAACCCAAACUUUGCCUGAAGCUCUAUUUUUGGCAUUUCACAGCCAAGGCUUACCUCGAAGUGUUAAGUUAAAGUUACACGCCCGAAGACCAACUUCUCCUGUCCAAAAAAGCGCAGAUACCGUUGCAAACGGUAAGGAGACUCUAACUCCUAGCUUAAUUCCGGGAUGCCCUGUACCCCACAGCUAAACCACACUGAACUAACCCUCUUCGCCGAGAGGUCAAUGUCGC